rnacentral:snRNA from 1 species
UCUUGUGUGAUGAUGUGU